AUUGAACGCUGGCGGCAUGCCUUACACAUGCAAGUCGAACGGCAGCAUAGGAGCUUGCUCCUGAUGGCGAGUGGCGAACGGGUGAGUAAGAUAUCGGAACGUGUCCUAGAGGGGGGGAUAACUAGUCGAAAGACUAGCUAAUACCGCAUACGAUCUACGGAUGAAAGUGGGGGAUCGCAAGGCCUCAUGCUCUGGGAGCGGCUGAUAUCUGAUUAGCUAGUUGGUAGGGUAAAAGCCUACCAAGGCAACGAUCAGUAGCUGGUCUGAGAGGACGACCAGCCACACUGGGACUGAGACACGGCCCAGACUCCUACGGGAGGCAGCAGUGGGGAAUUUUGGACAAUGGGGGCAACCCUGAUCCAGCAAUGCCGCGUGAGUGAAGAAGGCCUUCGGGUUGUAAAGCUCUUUUGUCAGGGAAGAAACGGUAGUAGCUAAUAUCUAUUGCUAAUGACGGUACCUGAAGAAUAAGCACCGGCUAACUACGUGCCAGCAGCCGCAGUAA
rnacentral:rRNA from 1 species